UGCGCAGGCGGCUUGUCAAGUCGUGUGUGAAAUAUCCGGGCUUAACCCGGAGGGUGCAUACGAAACUGGCGAGCUUGAGUGCAGGAGAGGGGAGCGGAAUUCCUAGUGUAGCGGUGAAAUGCGUAGAUAUUAGGAGGAACACCAGUGGCGAAGGCGGCUCUCUGGACUGCAACUGACGCUGAGGCACGAAAGCGUGGGGAGCAAACAGGAUUAGAUACCCUGGUAGUCCACGCUGUAAACGAUGGAUACUAGGUGUAGGGGGUGUAUGCCCUCUGUGCCGGAGCUAACGCAAUAAGUAUCCCGCCUGGGGAGUACGGCCGCAAGGUUGAA
rnacentral:rRNA from 1 species